UCCCUCGUGGUCCAACGGCUAGGAUAGUUGUCUUUCAAAAAAACCGGCAAUUCCCGGAUUUGCAUAGGAGCACAAUCGGCCCGGGUUCGACUCCCGGCGGGGGAA